rnacentral:rRNA from 3 species
CCUGGCGGCCUUAGCGCGGUGGUCCCACCUGACCCCAUGCCGAACUCAGAAGUGAAACGCCGUAGCGCCGAUGGUAGUGUGGGGCUUCCCCAUGCGAGAGUAGGGAACUGCCAGGC